CCUACGGGAGGCAGCAGUGGGGAAUAUUGCACAAUGGGGGAAACCCUGAUGCAGCGACGCCGCGUGAGUGAUGAAGUAUUUCGGUAUGUAAACCUCUUUUAGCAGGGAAGAAAAUGACGGUAUCUGAUUAAGAAGCCCCGGCUAACUCCGUGCCAGCAGCCGCGGUAAUACGUAGGGUGCAAGCGUUAUCCGGAUUUACUGGGGGUAAAGGGAGCGUAGACGGCAGCGCAAGUCAGGAGUGAAAUGCUGGGGCUUAACCACAGAACUGCAUUGGAAACUGUGCAGCUAGAGUGCAGGAGAGGUAAGUGGAAUUCCUAGUGUAGCGGUGAAAUGCGUAGAUAUUAGGAGGAACACCAAUGGCGAAGGCGGCCUGCUGGACUGUAACUGACGUUGAGGCUCGAAAGCGUGGGGAGCAAACAGGAUUAGAUACCCUUGUAGUC
rnacentral:rRNA from 1 species